rnacentral:rRNA from 1 species
UAAUACAUGCAAGUCGAGCGAAUGGAUUAAGAGCUUGCUCUUAUGAAGUUAGCGGCGGACGGGUGAGUAACACGUGGGUAACCUGCCCAUAAGACUGGGAUAACUCCGGGAAACCGGGGCUAAUACCGGAUAACAUUUUGAACCGCAUGGUUCGAAAUUGAAAGGCGGCUUCGGCUGUCACUUAUGGAUGGACCCGCGUCGCAUUAGCUAGUUGGUGAGGUAACGGCUCACCAAGGCAACGAUGCGUAGCCGACCUGAGAGGGUGAUCGGCCACACUGGGACUGAGACACGGCCCAGACUCCUACGGGAGGCAGCAGUAGGGAAUCUUCCGCAAUGGACGAAAGUCUGACGGAGCAACGCCGCGUGAGUGAUGAAGGCUUUCGGGUCGUAAAACUCUGUUGUUAGGGAAGAACAAGUGCUAGUUGAAUAAGCUGGCACCUUGACGGUACCUAACCAGAAAGCCACGGCUAACUACGUGCCAGCAGCCGCGGUAAUACGUAGGUGGCAAGCGUUAUCCGGAAUUAUUGGGCGUAAAGCGCGCGCAGGUGGUUUCUUAAGUCUGAUGUGAAAGCCCACGGCUCAACCGUGGAGGGUCAUUGGAAACUGGGAGACUUGAGUGCAGAAGAGGAAAGUGGAAUUCCAUGUGUAGCGGUGAAAUGCGUAGAGAUAUGGAGGAACACCAGUGGCGAAGGCGACUUUCUGGUCUGUAACUGACACUGAGGCGCGAA